CAGCCGCCGCGGUAACACGUAGGGUGCGAGCGUUAAUCGGAAUUACUGGGCGUAAAGCGUGCGCAGGCGGUUCGUUAAGACAGAUAUGAAAUCCCCGGGCUUAACCUGGGAACUGCAUUUGUGACUGGCGAGCUAGAGUAUGGCAGAGGGGGGUAGAAUUCCACGUGUAGCAGUGAAAUGCGUAGAGAUGUGGAGGAAUACCGAUGGCGAAGGCAGCCCCCUGGGCCAAUACUGACGCUCAUGCACGAAAGCGUGGGGAGCAAACAGGAUUAGAUACCCCGGUAGUCCCUGUCUCUUAUAC
rnacentral:rRNA from 1 species